rnacentral:rRNA from 1 species
CCUACGGGUGGCUGCAGUGAGGAAUAUUGGUCAAUGGGCGCGAGCCUGAACCAGCCAAGCAGCGUGAAGGACGACUGCCCUACGGGUUGUAAACUUCUUUUAUAAAGGAAUAAAGUGAGUCACGUGUGCCUUUUUGUAUGUACGUUAUGAAUAAGGAUCGGCUAACUCCGUGCCAGCAGCCGCGGUAAUACGGAGGAUCCGAGCGUUAUCCGGAUUUAUUGGGUUUAAAGGGAGCGUAGAUGGGUUGUUAAGUCAGUUGUGAAAGUUUGCGGCUCAACCGUAAAAUUGCAAUUGAUACUGGCAGACUUGAGUACGGAUGAGGUAGGCGGAAUGCGUGGUGUAGCGGUGAAAUGCUUAGAUAUCACGCAGAACACCGAUUGCGAAGGCAGCUUACUAAGCUGCCACUGACAUUGAUGCUCGAAAGUGUGGGUAUCAAACAGGAUUAGAUACCCGGGUAGUC